rnacentral:piRNA from 1 species
UUAUUGUCCUUAUUCCACCGA